rnacentral:tRNA from 2 species
GCUCGAGUGGCGGAAUGGUAGACGCAAGGGACUUAAAAUCCCUCGGGAGCAAUCCCGUGCUGGUUCAAGUCCAGUCUCGAGCA